CGCUACAACGCCGAAAUGACCUUCUCACCCUUGUGUACUCACUAUGUUGCUUUGGCGGGUCGACCUGGUUCCGACCCAGGCGGCCGGCGCCCCCAGCCUUAACUGGCCAGGACGCCCGGCUAAGUGCCCGCCAGUAUACAAAACUCAAGAAUUCAUUUUGUGAAGUCCUGAUAUAUCAUUUAAUUGAUUAAAACUUUCAACAACGGAUCUCUUGGUUCUGGCAUCGAUGAAGAACGCAGCGAAAUGCGAUAAGUAAUGUGAAUUGCAGAAUUCAGUGAAUCAUCGAAUCUUUGAACGCACAUUGCGCCCUCUGGUAUUCCGGAGGGCAUGCCUGUUCGAGCGUCAUUUCAACCCUCAAGCUCUGCUUGGUAUUGGGCAACGUCCGCUGCCGGACGUGCCUUGAAGACCUCGGCGACGGCGUCCUAGCCUCGAGCGUAGUAGUAAAAUAUCUCGCUUUGGAGUGCUGGGCGACGGCCGCCGGACAAUCGACCUUCGGUCUAUUUUUCCAAGG
rnacentral:rRNA from 1 species